CAAUAAAUUCUGUGUUCUUUUUCCCACUUAGCAAAUUAAGCAUGCUACUUAGUUUACUGUGAUUGAUCAUGUUAAAGCAUUUAUGAACAAAUAAUAACUAUUACGCAAGUAAAAUAUAAAAAAUGUCAUGUAUCCUUUUUCAUACAGGCCCCCAAUCCCUUAUUCAAAACCUUCAGGGCCAGAACUGUUUUGGAAUUCACAAGUGUUUGGAUCUUAAUAGGAUAGUAAGCCCCUUGCCUGUGCCUUGGAGAUUGCUGCUGAGGUGACUUGGCCCUUCUUGCUGAUUGCGGUGGAUCUCUGCUCUUUGUGGGUUGUCCACCUCCAGAGGAUUGGCUCUAAAUCAGGGUAACCUCAACCCAGGUGACUUCCCAUUGCAUUCAGAAGGAAGCUCAAACUCCUAAUUAGUGUCCACAAGACCUGGAACGUCUGAGCCUCAUUGCGUCUGACUCUUGUCCUUCUGCUCUUUUCCCUCACCCAUCCAUUCUGGCCUCACUGCCUGCCAUCAGUUUCUUGAUUGCAUCAGAUUCUUCCCACUUCAGAGCCUUUGCUAGCCCUUCUCCUUUUGCUAAAAUGCUCUUCCCCAAGUCAUUAUAUACUGGCUCCUUCUCACACCUGAGAGUUCAGAUUAAAGUUGACUUCAUCAGAGAG